GACGAACCGUGCGAACGUUGUUCGGAAUCACUGGGCUUAAAGGGCGCGUAGGCGGGCUAUCAAGUCCGGGGUGAAAUCCUCCAGCUUAACUGGAGAACGGCCUCGGAUACUGAUGGUCUCGAGGGGGAUAGGGGCACACGGAACUGUGGGUGGAGCGGUGAAAUGCGUUGAUAUCCAUAGGAACUCCGGUGGCGAAAGCGGUGUGCUGGAUCCCUUCUGACGCUGAGGCGCGAAAGCCAGGGGAGCAAACGGG
rnacentral:rRNA from 1 species